rnacentral:rRNA from 1 species
UACGACGGGGGCGAGCGUUGUUCGGAUUUACUGGGCGUAAAGGGCGCGUAGGCGGCCACCGCAAGUCGACUGUGAAAUCUCCGGGCUUAACCCGGAAAGGUCAGCCGAUACUGCGGGGCUAGAGUGCAGAAGGGGCAACUGGACUUCUCGGUGUAGCGGUGAAAUGCGUAGAUAUCGAGAGGAACACCUGCGGCGAAGGCGGGUUGCUGGGCUGACACUGACGCUGAUGCGCGAAAGCUAGGGGAGCGAACGGG